UGGUCCACAGAUUUUGUCCUUUUCAAAAAUCAAUUUUGGCACAUCCUUUAUUAAUUCCUUCUUGACUAGUUUUGAGAUUAAUUUCAUACUAGCAUGUCCUAGUCUACGAUGCCAAAGCCAACUUGUUUCAUUUUUCUUUUCUUCAUUAGUAAUUAAGCAUAAUCCAUUUUUCUUGCCUAAAUCAUGAAGAUCUACCAAGUAAAUAUUUCUUUGUCUUUGUCCUACAAGUACAAUGCUAUUAUCUUUAGGAUUUGUGAUUAUGCAUACAGAUGCUUCAAAUGUGACUUUAAACCCUUUAUCACAAA
rnacentral:lncRNA from 1 species